rnacentral:rRNA from 1 species
AUGCCUACGGGACGCAGCAGUAGGGAAUCUUCCACAAUGGACGAAAGUCUGAUGGAGCAACGCCGCGUGAGUGAAGAAGGGUUUCGGCUCGUAAAGCUCUGUUGGUAGUGAAGAAAGAUAGAGGUAGUAACUGGCCUUUAUUUGACGGCAAUUACUUAGAAAGUCACGGCUAACUACGUGCCAGCAGCCGCGGUAAUACGUAGGUGGUAAGCGUUGUUCGGAUUUUUUGGGGGUAAAGCGAGUGCAGGCGG